rnacentral:lncRNA from 1 species
GAGCCAGUCACGGUUAUAGUAAUAACUAAAAUUUGCACAGGACUUUACAGCUUCCAAAAUACUCUCCAAAAUAUUGUUAUUUAGCCACCAUUCAUCCGUAAACUAGUUACUCAUUAUUGUUGUUGUUUUAAUUUUUUCAGGUGAGUACACUGAGAGAGCAAUUAAAUAACUUGCCCAAGAUCCCAUAGCCAAGAAGAGGCAAUCCUUUUCUUCUGAGUCUGAAUCCUGUACAGUUCUCACCCUAUCCACCUGCCUUGUUCCCUUCUCUGCUUACUGGAGUCUUGCAUCCUCAUGUUCAGGGCUGAGUUCUAGGAUUCUGGAAAGGGGUACAGCUCCCAACUUCCUGGACAUAAGAAGUACUUCUUUCUCUGCCUGAUUUGCUCCUCUGUUGCUCCCAAGAUGGCGGACCUCUCCAUAGCAAUGGGAAGACAGCAAGAUGUAUGAACCUACCCCUGGAAGCAAAAGCACUGACCUCACGUAAUUCCCUGGACAUGUAAGAACGCUAUUUGUGUGUCAUGUAUGAGAAUAUGUCUGUCAAGGCUUCAAUGUGCCAAAUAAGAAAGAGG